rnacentral:snRNA from 1 species
GUUCUUGCUACGGCAGAACACAUACUAAAAUUGAAACGAUACAGAGAAGAUUAGCAUGGCCCCUGCGCGUAAUAAUAUCUUACAUUUUUUGGGGAUUUUAAAUGCAUUC